CCUACGGGAGGCAGCAGUGGGGAAUUUUGGACAAUGGGCGAAAGCCUGAUCCAGCAAUGCCGCGUGAGUGAAGAAGGCCUUCGGGUUGUAAAGCUCUUUUGUCAGGGAAGAAACGGUGAGAGCUAAUAUCUCUUGCUAAUGACGGUACCUGAAGAAUAAGCACCGGCUAACUACGUGCCAGCAGCCGCGGUAAUACGUAGGGUGCAAGCGUUAAUCGGAAUUACUGGGCGUAAAGCGUGCGCAGGCGGUUUUGUAAGUCUGAUGUGAAAUCCCCGGGCUCAACCUGGGAAUUGCAUUGGAGACUGCAAGGCUAGAAUCUGGCAGAGGGGGGUAGAAUUCCACGUGUAGCAGUGAAAUGCGUAGAUAUGUGGAGGAACACCGAUGGCGAAGGCAGCCCCCUGGGUCAAGAUUGACGCUCAUGCACGAAAGCGUGGGGAGCAAACAGGAUUAGAUACCCUGGUAGUCCACGCCCUAAACGAUGUCUACUAGUUGUCGGGUCUUAAUUGACUUGGUAACGCAGCUAACGCGUGAAGUAGACCGCCUGGGGAGUACGGUCGCAAGAUUAAACGUCAAAGGAUUGACGG
rnacentral:rRNA from 1 species